CCUACGGGUGGCAGCAGUGAGGAAUAUUGGUCAAUGGACGAGAGUCUGAACCAGCCAAGUAGCGUGAAGGAUGACUGCCCUAUGGGUUGUAAACUUCUUUUAUAAAGGAAUAAAACGGGGCACGUGUGCCUUUUUGCAUGUACUUUAUGAAUAAGGAUCGGCUAACUCCGUGCCAGCAGCCGCGGUAAUACGGAGGAUCCGAGCGUUAUCCGGAUUUAUUGGGUUUAAAGGGAGCGUAGAUGGGUUGUUAAGUCAGUUGUGAAAGUUUGCGGCUCAACCGUAAAAUUGCAAUUGAUACUGGCAGUCGUGAGUACAGUUGAGGUAGGCGGAAUUCGUGGUGUAGCGGUGAAAUGCUUAGAUAUCACGAAGAACCCCGAUUGCGAAGGCAGCUUACUAAACUGUGACUGACAUUGAUGCUCCAAAGUGUGGGUAUCAAACAGGAUUAGAUACCCGUGUAGUC
rnacentral:rRNA from 1 species